UGAUGAUGAUGAUGAUGAAGAGGUAUUGUGUGUCUGGGAGGGGUAUAUGUUAAAACGACCAGGUUUGAUGAUGAUGAUGAAGAGAUGUAUUGUGUGUCUGGGAGGGGUAUAUGUUAAAACGACCAGGUUUGAUGAUGAUGAUGAAGAGAUGUAUUGUGUGUCUGGGAGGGGUAUAUGUUAAAACGACCAGGUUUGAUGAUGAUGAUGAUGAAGAGAUGUAUUGUGUGUCUGGGAGGGGUAUAUGUUAAAACAACCAGGUUUGAUGAUGAAG